rnacentral:rRNA from 1 species
AGUGAACGCUGGCGGUAGGCCUAACACAUGCAAGUCGAACGGCAGCACAGGAGAGCCUGCUCUCUAGGUGGCGAGUGGCGGACGGGUGAGGAAUACAUCGGAAUCUGCCCAGUCGUGGGGGAUAACGUAGGGAAACUUACGCUAAUACCGCAUACGACCUUCGGGUGAAAGAGGGGGAUCGCAAGACCUCUCGCGAUUGGAUGAGCCGAUGUCGGAUUAGCUAGUUAGCGGGGUAAUGGCCCACCAAGGCGACGAUCCGUAGCUGGUCUGAGAGGAUGAUCAGCCACACUGGAACUGAGACACGGUCCAGACUCCUACGGGAGGCAGCAGUGGGGAAUAUUGGACAAAGGGCGCAAGCCUGAUCCAGCCAUACCGCGUGGGUGAAGAAGGCCUUCGGGUUGUAAAGCCCUUUUGUUGGGAAAGAAAUCUUUCAGGCUAAUACCCUGGGAGGAUGACGGUACCCAAAGAAUAAGCACCGGCUAACUUCGUG